GAAAUGCGAUAAGUAGUGUGAAUUGCAGAAUUUAGCGAAUCAUCGAAUCUUUGAACGCACAUUGCGCCCCUUGGUAUUCCAUGGGGCAUGCCUGUUCGAGCGUCAUUUCAACCCUCAAGCACUGCUUGGUGUUGGGCGUUUGUCCCGCCUACGCGCGUGGACUCGCCUCAAAGUCAUUGGCGGCUGUUACCCUUCGGCUCGUAAGCGCAGCACAGUCGGCGCCCGGAGCUCUGGUGGGAUGGCGUCCAGCAAGCUAUAUUUUCAGGCUUGACCUCGGAUCAGGUAGGGAUACCCGCUGAACUUAAGC
rnacentral:misc_RNA from 1 species